rnacentral:rRNA from 1 species
AUUGAACGCUGGCGGCAGGCCUAACACAUGCGAGUCGAGCGGAUGAAGGGAGCUUGCUCCUGGAUUCAGCGGCGGACGGGUGAGUAAUGCCUAGGAAUCUGCCUGGUAGUGGGGGAUAACGUCCGGAAACGGGCGCUAAUACCGCAUACGUCCUGAGGGAGAAAGUGGGGGAUCUUCGGACCUCACGCUAUCAGAUGAGCCUAGGUCGGAUUAGCUAGUUGGUGGGGUAAAGGCCUACCAAGGCGACGAUCCGUAACUGGUCUGAGAGGAUGAUCAGUCACACUGGAACUGAGACACGGUCCAGACUCCUACGGGAGGCAGCAGUGGGGAAUAUUGGACAAUGGGCGAAAGCCUGAUCCAGCCAUGCCGCGUGUGUGAAGAAGGUCUUCGGAUUGUAAAGCACUUUAAGUUGGGAGGAAGGGCAGUAAGUUAAGACCUUGCUGUUUUGACGUUACCAACAGAAUAAGCACCGGCUAACUUCGU